rnacentral:rRNA from 1 species
UACAGAGGUGGCAAGCGUUGUUCGGAAUUACUGGGCGUAAAGGGCGCGUAGGCGGUCCCAUAAGUCCUGUGUGAAAUCCCCCGGCUCAACUGGGGAAUUGCACGGGAAACUGUGAGGCUUGAGUUCGGGAGAGUGAAGCGGAAUUCCGGGUGUAGCGGUGAAAUGCGUAGAUAUCCGGAGGAACACCGGUGGCGAAGGCGGCUUCCUGGACCGACACUGACGCUGAGGCGCGAAAGCUAGGGGAGCAAACGGG